UAUAUCAAAUGAUGAUAUACAUAUCAAUCUUAGGACACCUUUGGACACAAUCACAUGAUUGUGAAUGAAAAUAGUUUUUCUUCUGAUGAUAUA
rfam:Solanum lycopersicum cultivar Heinz 1706 chromosome 3, whole genome shotgun sequence.